GCGGGCAUAACUCAGUUGGUAGAGUACGAGCUUCCCAAGCUCGGAGUCGCGAGUUCGAAUCUCGUUGCCCGCUCCA
rnacentral:tRNA from 2 species